GUCCUAGCCCUAAACGAUGAGCACUAGGCAUUGGGCCUCUGGUUCAGUGCCGCAGCUAACGCAUGAAGUGCUCCGCCUGGGGACUACGGCCGCAAGGUUGAAACUCAAAGGAAUUGACGGGGGCCCGCACAAGCGGUGGAGCAUGUGGUUUAAUUCGAUGCAACGCGGCGAACCUUACCUGGGUUUGACAUCCCCGGCAAUCUUGGGAAACCAGGAGUUUUGAGCAAUCAAACCGGGAGACAGGUGGUGCAUGGCUGUCGU
rnacentral:rRNA from 1 species